AUAUAGACAGGAGAAGGCAAGGUGUGGAUAUAUAGACAGUAGAAGGCAAGGUGUGGAUAUAUAGACAGGAGAAGGCAAGGUGUGGAUAUAUAGACAGGAGACAAGGUGUGGAUAUAUAGACAGGAGAAGACAAGGUGUGGAUAUAUAGACAGGAGACAAGGUGUGGAUAUAUAGACAGGAGACAAGGUGUGGAUAUAUAGACAGGAGAAGACAAGGUGUGGAUAUAUAGACAGGAGACAAGGUGUGGCUAUAUAGACAGGAGAAGACAAGGUGUGGAUAUAUAGACAGGAGACAAGAUUUGGAUAUAUAGACAGGAGACAAGGUGUGGAUAUAUAGACAGGAGACAAGGUGUGGAUAUAUAGACAGGAGAAGACAAGGUGUGGAUAUAUAGACAGGAGAAGGCAAGGUGUGGAUAUAUAGACAGGAGAAGACAAGGUGUGGAUAUAUAGACAGGAGACGAGGUGUGGAUAUAUAGACAGGAGAAGACAAGGUGUGGAUAUAUAGACAGGAGAAGACAAGGUGUGGAUAUAUAGACAGGAGACAAGGUGUGGAUAUAUAGACAGGAGACAAGGUGUGGAUAUAUAGACAGGAGAAGACAAGGUGUGGAUAUAUAGACAGGAGAAGGCAAGGUGUGGAUAUAUAGACAGGAGAAGGCAAGGUGUGGAUAUAUAGACAGGAGACAAGGUGUGGAUAUAUAGACAGGAGAAGACAAGGUGUGGAUAUAUAGACGGGAGAAGACAAGGUGUGGAUAUAUAGACAGGAGAAGGC